rnacentral:rRNA from 1 species
GACGAACGCUGGCGGCGUGCUUAACACAUGCAAGUCGAACGGAAAGGCCCUGCUUUUGUGGGGUGCUCGAGUGGCGAACGGGUGAGUAACACGUGAGUAACCUGCCCUUGACUUUGGGAUAACUUCAGGAAACUGGGGCUAAUACCGGAUAGGAGCUCCUGCUGCAUGGUGGGGGUUGGAAAGUUUCGGCGGUUGGGGAUGGACUCGCGGCUUAUCCGCUUGUUGGUGGGGUAGUGGCUUACCAAGGCUUUGACGGGUAGCCGGCCUGAGAGGGUGACCGGCCACAUUGGGACUGAGAUACGGCCCAGAAUCCUACGGGAGGCAGCAGUGGGGAAUAUUGCACAAUGGGCGGAAGCCUGAUGCAGCAACGCCGCGUGCGGGAUGACGGCCUUCGGGUUGUAAACCGCUUUCGACUGUGACGAAGCGUGAGUGACGGUAAUGGGUAAAGAAGCACCGGCUAACUACGUG